AUUGAACGCUGGCGGCAUGCCUUACACAUGCAAGUCGAACGGCAGCACGGGUGCUUGCACCUGGUGGCGAGUGGCGAACGGGUGAGUAAUACAUCGGAACAUGUCCUGUCGUGGGGGAUAGCCCGGCGAAAGCCGGAUUAAUACCGCAUACGAUCUACGGAUGAAAGCGGGGGACCUUCGGGCCUCGCGCUAUAGGGUUGGCCGAUGGCUGAUUAGCUAGUUGGUGGGGUAAAGGCCUACCAAGGCGACGAUCAGUAGCUGGUCUGAGAGGACGACCAGCACCACUGGGACUGAGACACGGCCCAGACUCCUACGGGAGGCAGCAGUGGGGAAUUUUGGACAAUGGGCGAAAGCCUGAUCCAGCAAUGCCGCGUGUGUGAAGAAGGCCUUCGGGUUGUAAAGCACUUUUGUCCGGAAAGAAAUCCUUGGCUCUAAUACAGUCGGGGGAUGACGGUACCGGAAGAAUAAGCACCGGCUAACUACGUGCCAGCCGCCGCCGUAA
rnacentral:rRNA from 1 species